CUGUGAUGGGGAGGGGAUGGUGGGGGAGUCACAUGCAGAGAAUCAGCCUUGACUGUCAGCAGAGGAGAAGGAAGAAUGCUUUGGCUGGGUGUGGUGGUAACCAAGGCUGCUCGCUGACCGCAAUGACCUCCUGCUUUGAUCCACGUAUCUGAAAAGGCGCUGCUAACGCUCUGCUGCUGCACAGGGGUCCACACAGCUGAGGAUGCACCUGAAAUGCAAGAGCAUCUCUGUGCCUUACCUACUGCUUCAUUCAGCAGCACAGCACUGAGAGCACUGGAAACAAGACAAAUUGAAGCCGUUUUCUUUUGAAAGGGGUUAAAACCCCUUGCAGCACCCCUUUUAAGCUAAGAUGAGCAGACAGUGGAUCCUCCUAGAAAUCCACACUGAAGAUGCUCUCAAGCAGUCCUGUAAGGUGCAGUGGUCCAUCACAUCUUCUCUGCGCAUGUACUUUUAGUGGAAGUCCACCCAUAAUUAACACUUUUCAGUGAGUGUGCUUUUGGGCUGUAAACAACAGUAAGGAAACACAGGAUGCUGCAGGUAGUUUCCCUGGGUGAAACAAGGCCUGCCCAAGUGAAAGCGAAGCCAAAGAGAGUGUUUUAAGAUUAUUACCAUUCCAAGUGGAAAUUCAGCAAGUAGGAAAAGUGAUUGCACAGCUGCUGAAUGCUGCGCGAAGGCUGGAUGUGGCAGUAGCUGUCUCUCCAGCCACGUGGCUUUUCCCAAACAGUAGUUCUGUUUAGAAGUCAGCGCUGCCACUGGUAUGCUCCCGGGCAGGAUAUAGAGGAGAAGAAAUACUCUGUGCCAGUACUUCUCCCAUAGUUCAUGCAGCACCGUUAGCGCUGGGUCACCCGAAGGUGACAGGGGAAGGUAAGCGCACCUGUGGGGUGGCCAGGAUGCUCCAUCUCCGCAGGAGGAGGAAGCAGAAGAGGAACUGAACUGCUCGGGGUAGGUCUACACCACCAGUUAACAGCAGAUUUAGGCAUGUUGUGUCCAGCCCUGCACAUGUUCCGCCCACGCUGCUCAGUCACAUAGUGUAGGAAACAUUUCCCACAACGUUAUAGAAUCUCCUGUGUCUAAAUAUGUCUGAGUAACCUAUGCAAGCCUCUGUGUAGACAUGACACCUGAGCUAGCUGCCUAGCGUGGCUGCUAUUAGGGGGCAGAGAGGAGCACUGCUAAAGCAUGACCCUUCUGACCUCCUUUAGAUGCUCUUCUUAGAAGGAGAUAGUUGGUAACCCUAGAAAUGCUUGUGUCUCUCCCUUGAUUAUACGCAGAGCCAGGGUAAUUAGCUUGGCAGCAGAUAUCUGAAGGUUAAUGGGAUGAAUUCCACCUCAGCUACACUUAGGAGGACACUUGGACACGGAAAGACAUUGCACGCGGUCAGGGUAUAAAGCUCUUCAUCAGACCUUCGGAGACACCCGCUAGGUGCAGCCAGCACACACGGUUCACUCCUGCUCUGUAUGAAGGAUGGAGCUGAGGCCAGCGUGGACCGUGGCUGGUUUGGCCACCAACGGCGAUGUUGGGCUGAGAGCUUUUCUGUGUGUGCUUUGUAUAUGAACACGUGAAGGAUGGAAGGAUCUAGUCCUGGGAUCAAGUGUGAGCCUACGCUUUGACAGCACAGAUGUGUUCCCGAGCAACACGGACCCAGCGACAUACAGCUUGACAAGGGGUUUGCCUACAAAUGGGAUCUAGCUUUGAGUUAGUGGGUUUUGUUACUGAAAAAGAGGGUCACCUCCAUCACACAGGAUAAAGCUUGGGGAACAGCAGGUAAAGAUGCAUGGAACCAGGAAAAUAAUUGCAACCGGCCUUUGAUCCUUAACCUGUGUAUUCAAACUCCACAGGAACACCCCCCAAACCUGAAUAUCUCAUUGUUUAUAUUUAUGGUUAUGGUUUUUAAUGGACUUCUACCCUUCCUUCCCCUGGGUACGAGCUGUGUGGCCAAAAAUAAUGUGAGACCUGGUCUUUCCACCAUGUUUUGACUCCUAGGGAACUGAAGAACCGUGAGAAGACAUGAACAUGCGAAUCACACAUGCAGCAAGGAUCCAAGAAUCCAUCGACACAUGAACUCCUAGUUUUAAAGCAAGGAGUAUCCAAAUAUUACAGAAUGGAGAGCUUGUACUCUGUGGCAUAGCAGAUUUCAGCCAUUCAGUGUCCAAUUUAGGAGAAUACUGAAAAGUCUGACCUCAGUUUUACCCAUACAAUGUCAACGUUUCAGUACAAACCAAGAGCUAUUUACAGUGGUGCCUUGGGACAGAUGGGAUCUGCUGAACUUUCUGGCUGCCAGUGAUGUAAAAUGACUAUGUGGGUAGGAAACAGCAUGCCUGGACCACUAGGCUGUAGGUCACAAUACCCAAGAUAAUUUGAUUUUUGAUUGUGCCCAUUUCCCUUUAACAUAGGACAAAUCCUUUUACCUCCUUGUCUCUCCAUCCAGCUCUUGUCUCCAGCUAGCCUGGGCACAGCUUGGCUAUAGCAAGCAUCUGGUGAUUUUAUUAACCAUAUUGACCUGGGUGAUCUCUGAAAUGAAAAGGUCAAUCAGACACAGAAUCUGGAAGAUGGCAUUUCCAUUUGGGGAGAGAAAACUCUUUGGAGAUGGGUUGCAAAGGCACAUCUCAAAUUCUCUAAGUUUCCAACUACUUUAGGCCCAGGUUUUUAGCUUAAGCACAUCUGGAACAAUUACUGCUCCAAACAUGUGGUACAUGUCCUAGAAGAAAGUAUUUUAAAACAAAAUAAUAAUAAUAAAAAACCCCCAACAACCAGAAUGAAGUCUCUGGCUUUUCCACGGAAGGAAGGCAGGACCACUACCACACUCAGUGCCAACAGCUUUGGAAGCCCAAAAUGAAGUUAUAUAGUAACGACAAAUAUCAAACAAACUGAAGAAAAUGGGAGUGGGGGGAAAUGCUGCUCUCCCUCUUCCCACCUCGCUCCCUCCUCCCCUUUUCCUGGCCCACCCAUGUGUAACUGACUCCAGUAAACCACGAAAAGAGCAACUUGGCAGCCGCUGGCACGCUGGACCUGGGCAGAUGCCAGAUGCUGCGUUCUCACUGGUUUUUAAAGUAGCAUUUAUUUUUUUUUUUUAUAUAUAAAAUCUAUAGUGUCACUCUGAAUGGCUAAAUGAGCCACUGAAACCAAGAUAAGCAAAAGCAGCAACUGGCAUGCACCCUGCUUGUUCUCCACAUCGUGUCCAGUUACUAUGUCAGGCUAAAUCCUCUAAUGAGGUUCUUAUGCAACUUUAUUUUAGUCACAGGGAGCCUGAGUCCUCCUCCUGUCAGUCAGUAGGAAGUUUUCAGCUGAAUAUGAAGACCAGUAUUUUGCCAUGAAUUUGUCAAGCAUAAGAAGCUACAGUAUUUGGCUUUCAGUGUCACAGUCAGGGAGAUUUCCCUGUGUAAUAAGAAAUCAAUUAGAUUUCUCUAUGCAAUUGGACACAGAAAUAUGCUGUUUUCUUAUUUGUAUCUAUUAUUUAUUUUGUGGAAUAUCUCUUUACUGAGGCCACAUUUGAUGCUUCAUGUAAAGAGAAAAAAAGACAGCCCCUGCCCCAGGGAAAUGCCCGAUGUGACACUUGUUAACUUUUCAAAGCAGCAGUAAGAUCUGCAGCGAAGGGGGUCUCUGAACUGGGUGUGUAGUGAUGAGAUCCCUUCAGGAAGCAAAGGGCUCGUCUGGGUCGUGAGUGCUGGCGGGUGAGGCAGCAAAGCAGGUUGCUAGCAUCACCCAGACAGGAGCACAACCUGUGAUAAACUCCCUGGUUGCCCCCUGUUAUCACAUUUCCUCCGUUUGUUCCGAGGGGAACUGUGGCUCAGAGCUGCCUGAGCACAUCUUGGAGUCACACUGGCCCAAGUGUCGCUUUUUGCUUUGCUGACCCCUGAAAUGUCUUUGAGCAUCUGCCUUGUGCAGGCAUUCAGCCAUGUCUGGAAAGACGACUCUUCAGAAAAACAGCGUGUUUUUCCUGUGUCUUAACUUGAGCUGGAAAAUGGAGCGCAGGCUCCAACAACUCACAGACUAAACACCAGAACCUAUGAUUUCUUCUUUUGUUUUAAAACUCACAUCAGCAACAGAGAAUGGAAAAAACGUGUGAAUCAGGUCAUUUCCAAGUGAUGUGAUUCACUCCAAUAGGAUGUUGCAUUUCUUUGUGUCUCUUCAAGGAAUCACAUGGAACAAAACCACAACAGGCUGCUGACUUGCUAUGGGGUAGGGGCGGGUGGAGGGAAAGAGCAAAAGUGCCCCUUAUUUUAAGAAAAUAACUGUUGUGCUUAUCUUCUCCCAGGUGUCUAUGAGGCCUGUAGAGGUUUGACAGGAUUCCCACGAAUGAGAACUUUUGCCCACGAUUCUGUUCCAAUCUCUCUCUCUCUCACAUAUAAUAGAGCUGGAGGCUUGUGGUCGAGUGACCUCAGCAUCGUUGCGAAAGUAGUUUGCUUGCAUUAUUCUCACCACACGUGAUUCCAUAAGAAACACCACUCUAUGCCUAGCUAUUUUUCAUUAACUCUUUCCUGGGAGGCAAAACACUGAAAAAACAGAGGCAUGGGACCCUUUCUCUGUAGAAGCCAUGCUGGGCAGUUCCAGGCAUUUGCCCACAUCACAAGCGCUCCAGGGCUGAGUUUCUCUGCCCCAAGAGGGCUGCAGCCUUGGGGAGCAGUACCUGCCUGUGCCGUGGGUCGGAGGUGUGCGAGGGAGCGCUGCUGCUUUUUGUCAGAUGCACUAAAGAAACCUGCCCCUGCCCUCCAGGAGAAGGGGCCCUGCACAAGCAAAGCCCAACGCUGACCUCGUGGUGCCUGUUUGCCAGCCCAGAACACUUGGGCUCACCUAGAACUGUAUGAUGGGCAUCUUCUUAGUCCUAUUUAUGUCAGGAGUACAUGAAGGGAGCAACAGAGUUUUGGAUUAAGCAGAUUUUUCUCUCCAAAAAAGUUGAAAUACUGGAGGGGGGCAAAGAAAUGGAGAAGUGUUGUCCUCUUUAAACUUCCCUAUCAAGUGUAUGUUUUCUUCUCACAGCACUGCUUUUUGCCAUCAUUCAUUCCUUGAAUAGAGAUACUGGGGUCAGGGGCAGUCAGAGAAGUUGUCCUCUCCCUCCCUGAGCCCUCUGUGCUACUGGGAGAGAGCAGCCCAGCCAAAGUUUGCCACCACUGCAGGCUCUGGACACUGGGGUGAACGGCUUGUAAAACUGUCUUUCUGCAUGUUUGCAAAGCACUUAGCACAGCAAGGGUCGAUUGUAUUACUACAGGGCUGAUAAUAAAUAUUGGUAAUAAUGAAAGUAGGAAGAAAUUGUUACUGGAGUGCUGUGUGAGAAUGGCAAAUUUGGCUACUGCUGUUUGCAAGUGUAUGGAGACUGGGAUGAGAAAUUCUUUGCGUGCACAGUGUGGUGUUCAGAAAAGGUUCCUUCCAAAAUCUAGACGAGGAUGUGUGGAAGCAAUCCUUAAUGCAUUCAUUCCAGGCCUGGUAUAAAAUCUCCUUUAUAUUAAGAGACACAGUCCCAGUGCAAGUCCCCAGCCAGGAGGGAUGCCGUGAACAAAUGCCACAGGACAGGGCAGGCACUCCUCUCAAAUCAGACAGUGAAAACAGCAUAACGGAAUGGGGAAUCUUGUUCAUUUAAUCAAGCCAUUCCAGUGUGCUGGAAUAUAGAUGUUUUCUGAGGGAUGACAGCUUCAGGCAAGGGACUCCCAGCAGCGAGAAAGCAGAGCCAGCGAAAGCAGGAACACACAGCGCACGGCUCUCAGAGGGAACUGUCCCUGCCACAUAACGGAGAUCACCAUGUUUCACAAAGCAUCCUCGUUUAAAACACGUUAAGGCUUGUUGUUCAUAACCUGAAUGAAGUCCAGGUGUCGCAGAGGGCCAGACCGUCCCCUCCUCCAAGGUGCACCCCUCGUGCUGUGGGUGCUGAGCACAUGCAGGGGUCCUGAGGGCUGUGAGAGCUUUGCAAGCCACAGGUGCAGCCGUGAUCUCCACUCCUCAGUCAGGGUGCUUGCUGGCUGCCAAACUGUAUGUGAUGAUUACGCAGUGUGGACAUCUCAUCAGCUGCUAAAAUGAGGCCUUCUGAUUCAUUUCCACUUGGAAUCUAGAUGACAGUUUGGUUUGAAUUAGACAUGGGCUAGAGCCAAAACCCUGGAUCUGAACUUCCUCAGAUUUUGGGAAGGCUCCAACCUGGAUCUGAGCUUAGCUCAUGGCUCUCAUACAAAGAUUGGAGCCAAACCCUAGAUCAGAACAUUCCCAGAAUAUGGGGAAGCUCAGAGCUCAUCUUUGAUGCUGGGUUCAUCUCAAGCAUGGGUUUCCAAGGAUUAAAUACUGUCCUUAUGUCAGCUUGCUCUGUUUUCUUCUAUAGCUGG